rnacentral:rRNA from 1 species
GACGAACGCUGGCGGCGUGCUUAACACAUGCAAGUCGAACGGAAAGGCCCUGCUUUUGUGGGGUGCUCGAGUGGCGAACGGGUGAGUAACACGUGAGUAACCUGCCCUUGACUUUGGGAUAACUUCAGGAAACUGGGGCUAAUACCGGAUAGGAGCUCCUGCUGCAUGGUGGGGGUUGGAAAGUUUCGGCGGUUGGGGAUGGACUCGCGGCUUAUCAGCUUGUUGGUGGGGUAGUGGCUUACCAAGGCUUUGACGGGUAGCCGGCCUGAGAGGGUGACCGGGCACAUUGGGGCUGGGGGAGCGGCCAGGCUCCCUCCGGGGGCAAGGGGCGGGGAAUUUUGCCAAAGGGGCGGAGCCCGGAUGCAGAACCGCCGGGGGGGGGAUGACGGCCUUCGGGUUGAAACCCGUUUUCGCCUUGGACGAAGGGGGGGGGGCGGUAAUGGUGAAAGAAGCACCGGCGAACUACGG